rnacentral:ncRNA from 3 species
UGUGAAGCAGAAUUCACCAA